rnacentral:misc_RNA from 1 species
UUUAUGGAAUGGUUUGGUGAUGACAAUGUUAGUAAAUUUUGUUCAUGGGAUACAUUUAAAUCGAAAGAAGAUGCAGUAUCAUACGUAAUUGAUGUUGCAAUUCCACAUCCAUGGUUCAAAGCAAUUUGUUUAAAUGGCAAACCAAUUGGUACAAUUUCAGUUUCACCUUUUUAUGGUACUAAUAAAUGUAGAGGUGAACUUGGUUAUGUCAUAG